AGCGUCACAUCACUUGUUUUUGGAGUAAAACACGGUGGAAGCUGAAUUAGUGAGGAUGACUCCUGCUCCUGUCAUCUCUAAGCUCCUCACACAUCUUUACCUGCACAUGAGGAAAAUCACUGCUGUAGAAUGCAGAUGUUCAGAGGGAGAUGAUGCCACAUCUGGUCCAGCUGAUGGAAGGUCUUGAAGUUCUCUGACUGGCCUCGACUGAAGAUGGUCGUCUCACUGGAUUUAAGGUUCAGAUGCUCAGUAACAAACUCCACCAAUGAGCCAACAGGGAAGCUUUAGGUUUAUUAAAUGUUGCUAUGAAGGUUUCGCUGUUUUUCUUUGUGAAUGCAAUGUGCUCCAACUGAAACUUGAAUUAGAACUUAGAAGUAAAUCCUUCCAUCUGAAAGGAUUUAGUUGCAUUUAUAACACCCAUAAAUUGCACUACA